CAGACAUUUGGAGGGGAAUAACUUGAAAAGCCUACCAAGCAAGGUUUUUCAUAAUCAAACUUUCCUAAAGAAAUUAUUGUUACAGAUGAAUCAACUUGAAGAAUUGCCUGCUUUUCUUUUUCAAGGACUGGUGAAAUUGGAGUGGCUUUUUUCUACAAAAUAAUAAACUAAAAUUUAUGAAUCUGGAUACGUGGAUAAAUCUUACCAAUCUUGACUGGCUGGAACUGAUGCACAAUGAAAUCACUUUGGAACAUGAAACAUUUCCUUAUCUACCAUCUUUAAAAAUGUUAGACCUGGCCACACAACAGGAUAUCAGUGAUUAAAAAUGACACUUUCUCUCAGCUAUUAAAUUUAGCUGAACUGGAUCUGAGGCAAAAUGAAAUAGUAUUUAUUCAUGAGGAGGCUUUCAAAAAGUUAACGCUCCUUGAUUAUCUGGACUUGUCUUUUAAUCCACUUACACACACUCUCCAU